rnacentral:tRNA from 1 species
GCCCCUGUAGUGCAGUAGUUAGCACACUUGCCCGGCAAGCAGGAGGUGUCAGGUUCGAUUCCUUACCAGGAGGA